rnacentral:rRNA from 1 species
AGAACGAACGCUGGCGGCAUGCCUAAUACAUGCAAGUCGAACGAACACUUCGGUGUUAGUGGCGCACGGGUGCGUAACGCGUGGGAAUCUGCCCUUGGGUUCGGAAUAACAGUUGGAAACGACUGCUAAUACCGGAUGAUAUCGAAAGAUCAAAGAUUUAUCGCCCAGGGAUGAGCCCGCGUAGGAUUAGCUAGUUGGUGAGGCAAAGGCUCACCAAGGCGACGAUCCUUAGCUGGUCUGAGAGGAUGAUCAGCCACACUGGGACUGAGACACGGCCCAGACUCCUACGGGAGGCAGCAGUAGGGAAUAUUGGACAAUGGGCGCAAGCCUGAUCCAGCAAUGCCGCGUGAGUGAUGAAGGCCUUAGGGUUGUAAAGCUACUUUUACCCGAGAUGAUAAUGACAGUAUCGGAAGAAUAAGCCCCGGCUAACCUCCGUACCAGCAGCCGC